rnacentral:rRNA from 1 species
GUGGGGAAUAUUGCACAAUGGGGGAAACCCUGAUGCAGCCAUGCCGCGUGUAUGAAGAAGGCCUUAGGGUUGUAAAGUACUUUCAGUCAGGAGGAAGGGUGAACGGUAAAUAGCCGUUUACAUUGACGUUACUGACAGAAGAAGCACCGGCUAACUCCGUGCCAGCAGCCGCGGUAAUACGGAGGGUGCAAGCGUUAAUCGGAAUUACUGGGCGUAAAGCGCACGCAGGCGGUCUGUUAAGUCAGAUGUGAAAUCCCCGGGCUUAACCCGGGAACUGCAUUUGAAACUGGCAGGCUGGAGUCUCGUAGAGGGGGGUAGAAUUCCAGGUGUAGCGGUGAAAUGCGUAGAGAUCUGGAGGAAUACCGGUGGCGAAGGCGGCCCCCUGGACGAAGACUGACGCUCAGGUGCGAAAGCGUGGGGAGCAAACAGGAUUAGAAACCCCUGUAGUCC